CUGGCUCAGGAUUAACGCUGGCGGCGUGCCUAAUACAUGCAAGUCGAACGAGGGACUUUGUAGCAAUACGAGGGUUCCUAGUGGCGAAUGGGUGAGUAACGCGUUGGUGACCUGCCCCGAAGUGAGGGAUAACAGUUCGAAAGGACUGCUAAUACCACAUGUGGUCAGUGGGUUUAGAAGCUGCUGACUAAAGGAGCAAUUCGCUUCGGGAGGGACCUGCGUCCCAUCAGCUAGUUGGUAGGGUAACGGCCUACCAAGGCUACGACGGGUAGGGGGCCUGAGAGGGUGGCCCCCCACAUUGGCACUGACACACGGGCCAAACACCUACGGGUGGCAGCAGUAGGGAAUAUUGCACAAUGGGCGAAAGCCUGAUGCAGCAACGCCGCGUGCGCGAUGAAGGCCUUCGGGUCGUAAAGCGCUUUUUGGGGAGAUGAGCAAGGACAGUAUCCCCAGAAUAAGGAUCGGCUAACUACGUGCCAGCCGCGGC
rnacentral:rRNA from 1 species